rnacentral:rRNA from 1 species
UAUGUGAUCGUCUCUCGCAUAUCAAUAAGCGGAGGAAAAGAAACUAACAAGGAUUCCCCUAGUAACGGCGAGUGAAGCGGGAAGAGCUCAAAUUCGAAAUCUUAAAGGAUUUCCCUUUACGAAUUGUAGUUUAAAGAAGUGUUUUCUGUUGAGGUUUUGGUAAAAGUUCUUUGGAAUAGGACAUCAUAGAGGGGUGAGAAUCCCGUAUUUGACCUUUACUUUCAACUUUGUGAUACAGCUUUCAAAGAGUCGGAUUGUUUGGGAAUGCAGUCCGAAAUGGGUGGUAAAUUUCAUCUAAAGCUAAAUAUUGGCGAGAGACCGAUAGCGAACAAGUACCGUGAGGGAAAGAUGAAAAGAACUUUGAAAAGAGAGUUAAACAGUACGUGAAAUUGUCAAAAGGGAAGCGUUUGACACCAGUGUUGUUUUUCUGAAAAUCAAUUAAAGAACUGUUUAUGCUAAGUUGUUUAGACUUUAUCAGCUAACUGUUUAGUUUUGAGCUUUUCUUUAAUGCACUUUUCAGUUAACAGGUCAACAUCAAUUUCUUUUGCUGUAAAAAAGCUUGAGGAAGGUGGCUUGAGAUUCGUCUUAAGUGUUUAUAGCCUCUUGCCUAUGCAGUCGGAGAGAUUGAGGUCUGCAGCGUAGAUCCUUCGGGGCUAAAUGCAUUUGUGCUAAGUUAUAGCAUUUUAUAGACAACUUGUUGACUAUGAUUUGUCUUGUAGCUUACUCGCUUAUGUUAUUUUACCUACGCUUAGGAUGUUGACACACGCGCGUGCUCG